UAGAGGUCUCAAGCGUUGUUCGGAUUCCUUGGGCGUAAAGGGUGCGUAGGCGGCGCGGUAAGUCGGGUGUGAAAUCUUGGAGCUUAACUCCGAAACUGCAUUCGAUACUGCCGUGCUUGAGGACUGGAGAGGAGACUGGAAUUUACGGUGUAGCGGUGAAAUGCGUAGAUAUCGUAAGGAAGACCAGUGGCGAAGGCGGGUCUCUGGACAGUUCCUGACGCUGAGGCACGAAGGCCAGGGGAGCAAACGGG
rnacentral:rRNA from 1 species